rnacentral:rRNA from 1 species
AUACGGAGGGUGCGAGCGUUAAUCGGAAUUACUGGGCGUAAAGCGCGCGUAGGCGGUUUGGUCAGUCGGAUGUGAAAGCCCUGGGCUCAACCUGGGAAUGGCAUUCGAUACUGCCUGACUAGAGUAUGGUAGAGGGAAGUGGAAUUUCCGGUGUAGCGGUGAAAUGCGUAGAUAUCGGAAGGAACACCAGUGGCGAAGGCGACUUCCUGGGCCAAUACUGACGCUGAGGUGCGAAAGCGUGGGGAGCAAACAGGAUUAGAAACCCCAGUAGUCC